ACUCAAAUGAAUUGACGGGGACCCGCACAAGCGGUGGAGCAUGUGGUUUAAUUCGAUGCAACGCGAAGAACCUUACCUGGCCUUGACAUCCAUGGAAUUCUGCAGAGAUGUAGAAGUGCCUUCGGGAACCAUGAGACAGGUGCUGCAUGGCUGUCGUCAGCUCGUGUCGUGAGAUGUUGGGUUAAGUCCCGCAACGAGCGCAACCCUUGUCCUUAGUUGCCAUCAUUAAGUUGGGAACUCUAAGGAGACCGCCGGUGACAAACCGGAGGAAGGUGGGGAUGACGUCAAGUCAUCAUGGCCUUUAUGGCCAGGGCUACACACGUGCUACAAUGGCAGGUACAGAGGGAAGCCAACGCGCGAGCGGGAGCCAAUCCCAGAAAGCCUGUCGUAGUCCGGAUCGGAGUCUGCAACUCGACUCUGUGAAGUUGGAAUCGCUAGUAAUCGCAGAUCAGCAUUGCUGCGGUGAAUACGUUCCCGGGUCUUGUACACACCGCCCGU
rnacentral:rRNA from 1 species